UACUGGCAGGAUCAACCAGGUAGCAUUCCUUCGCGACACCGACGCCCGCAUGAGGCCCGACGAGCCGUGCGGCCGUUGGACGCUCAAGACGGGCGCGGCAGUCGUUCGUGUCGAGGGACGAAAUGCAUUGCUCGGGCAGACGAAGGCCAAGAGACCCCGCACCCGUGCAUAACAUUCUGUAUCCGAGAUCACGGGCAGAGCACCUCAUGGGCCAANGCAACCACGCACGUGGGCGAGGCAUGCCAGGAACACGAGGCUCGCCUUGCGUCCACCCCACCACCCGCGAGGGCAUGGGGC
rnacentral:misc_RNA from 1 species